AUUGAACGCUGGCGGCAGGCCUAACACAUGCAAGUCGAGCGGAGAGGCGGACGGGUGAGUAAUGCCUAGGAAUCUGCCUGGUCGUGGGGGAUAACGUCCGGAAACGGGCGCUAAUACCGCAUACUCUCAGAUGAGCCGAGGUAGGAUUAGAUAGUGGGGGGGGUAAGGGCAUAACAAGCCGACGAUCGGUAACUGGUCGGAUAGGAUGAUCAGUCAAACUGGAACUGAGACACGGUCCAGACUCCUACGGGAGGCAGCAGUGGGGAAUAUUGGACAAUGGGCGAAAGCCUGAUCCAGCCAUGCCGCGUGUGUGAAGAAGGUCUUCGGAUUGUAAAGCACUUUAAGUUGGGAGGCGUUACCAACAGAAUAAGCACCGGCUAACUUCGUGCCAGCAGCCGCGGUAAUUC
rnacentral:rRNA from 1 species